rnacentral:rRNA from 1 species
AGUGGGGAAUAUUGGACAAUGGGCGCAAGCCUGAUCCAGCAAUGCCGCGUGGGUGAAGAAGGUCUUCGGAUCGUAAAGCCCUUUCGACAGGGACGAUGAUGACGGUACCUGUAGAAGAAGCCCCGGCUAACUUCGUGCCAGCAGCCGCGGUAAUACGAAGGGGGCUAGCGUUACUCGGAAUUACUGGGCGUAAAGGGCGCGUAGGCGGCUCUGUGAGUCAGGCGUGAAAUUCCUGGGCUUAACCUGGGGACUGCGCUUGAUACUGCGGGGCUUGAGGCCGAGAGAGGGUGGUGGAAUUCCCAGUGUAGAGGUGAAAUUCGUAGAUAUUGGGAAGAACACCGGUGGCGAAGGCGACCACCUGGCUCGGUACUGACGCUGAGGCGCGACAGCGUGGGGAGCAAA